AGUCCAUGGUGCGGACAAGCUCUUAAAAGGUCUUUAUAUCUUUCCCAUGCUUCAAAAAGUGAUUCAUCUUGGUUUUGAGUGAAUCUAGUGAUCAGGUUCCUGAGGAC